rnacentral:rRNA from 1 species
GUGUCAGCAGCCGCGGUAAUACAGAGGGUGCAAGCGUUGUUCGGAAUUAUUGGGCGUAAAGCGCGUGUAGGCGGCAUUGUAAGUCGGGUGUGAAAUCCCUCAGCUCAACUGAGGAAGUGCGCCCGAAACUGCUUUGCUUGAGUGCCGGAGAGGAUGGCGGAAUUCCCCAAGUAGAGGUGAAAUUCGUAGAUAUGGGGAGGAACACCGGUGGCGAAGGCGGCCAUCUGGACGGUAACUGACGCUGAGACGCGAAAGCGUGGGUAGCAAACAGGAUUAGAUACCCUGGUAGUCCACGCUGUAAACGAUGAGAACUAGGUGUCGUGGGUGUUGACCCCCGCGGUGCCGAAGCUAACGCAUUAAGUUCUCCGCCUGGGAAGUACGGUCGCAAGACUAAA